CUUUGUGGGCAUUUGUGGAGGACAGACAAAACACUAAAACCCACUAGGGUUUUUUUUCUUCUUGUUAAAAGUAAGAUUCAAAACGUAUGUCCAAGGUAACGACAUGCCUCAACUCUUUGUUUUCUAAGAGAGUUGCAUAUCAGACACUGGGCACCACUGGAGCAGAAAUGAGAACAAACUGAGAACCCAGGACAAGAAACACUGAAGUCAAGAGAGCACAGAUGGAAACCUCUGAAAUCAUGAACCUGGAUGAACCCUCAUCCUUGCUGAGAAGAGACAAAAACAGAAGAUGGCAAAACUGCGGUUGCUGCCCUCGAGGUGCUAGGAGAAUCAAGACUUACGUUUCCAGUAUGUAAACUGUGACCAGACUCCCUGCAUGGAGGAUCCUGGACAAUUCCCCAAUGGAAUCUGACCAAUCACAUUGGGAAGUGUGAGCCCUAAGAGGUCCUGAGAUAAUCUAUAAACCUCCUCUCUGAGGAACGGCCAGCAUGAGAGUUGCUAUACUUGUGUGGAUAAUAGUCUAUGCCUAAGCUAGGCAUUGUCUAUGCCCAGAAAAGUGUUCUAAGCAAUAUCCGAUAAUCACUUUUAAGCCACUGGAAAAUCAUUGGUGCCAAUGACUGACAUUUCCAGAAUCUAGGAGUCGGUGCCAAGCAGAGCCAAGGGAAGUACCUAUGAGACACUCCUUCGUGCCUACAUCUGUGUUGUCUUACAGGUCUGACAGCUCAGCCUGGUAGAGCUCAGCCUGGCAGAGCAGGACAGAGGCAGUGUCUGAACAGACUCACAGAUGGCUCAUCCUUCCUCACUGUGCGACCCUAGGAGAGUUUACUCAUCUGUUCCCAUCCUUGGCUUCCUCCCCCUAAAACAGUGAGCCAAUGCCACCUUCCCCACAGGAUUACUAGAGCCUUAAAUAAAAAUUUUAAAUGUGCUGAAUGCUACUUGGCAAUGUUAUUAUUUCAAUGCAAAUUGCUCCUUUCCUCUACAGACGCAAAAUCCUCCCUACACCCUAUUUCCAUUUGGAACUUAAUAGAAGGAAACAAAAUUUCAAUGCACCUCACCCCCU
rnacentral:sRNA from 1 species